rnacentral:rRNA from 1 species
UACGUAGGGUGCAAGCGUUGUCCGGAAUUAUUGGGCGUAAAGAGCUCGUAGGCGGUCUGUCGCGUCGAUCGUGAAAACUUGGGGCUUAACCCUGAGCUUGCGGUCGAUACGGGCAUGACUGGAGUUCGGCAGGGGAGACUGGAAUUCCUGGUGUAGCGGUGAAAUGCGCAGAUAUCGUAAGGAAGACCAGUGGCGAAGGCGGGUCUCUGGACAGUUCCUGACGCUGAGGCACGAAGGUCAGGGGAGCAAACGGG